AUGGUAAUUCUGAACCAUUAAAAAUAAUCUUAUCUAUUACUGUUGUGCAGUUUUGCAACUUUUAAUGUGUAAAAUUUUCCUAUUUUUCUAAUGUUUAUUAUUUCCAAUACAAUUACGUCUGAAAAUUGUGCAACUCUUGAAAAACAUCUACGAAGAAAUCGAAAGGUUAUCGAGAUUUUAAGAAGCAAAACAGAUGAAUGAAUCAUCAUGGAACAAAGGCUGGGAAUGUCGUGGCGGGCUUAGUUUACAGUCUACGGCCUGACGUUCACAUAGUAGGCGAUGAACUCGCGAACUUUUCAGUACAUCUGCACUAAGGCUCCGGCUUUGCUCGAUACACUAUUUGACGCGACGUUGCCGGAUUUCCCAGUGUAUUUUCAGGAGAUUAUGCACAGGAACAGCUGAUUGAUGACUCAUGCUUCAAAGAUGAAUUACCUGAUGAAUGGCCUAAUUAAAAAUAUAUAUAUGUAGUUUUAAA